rnacentral:lncRNA from 1 species
GGGCGGUUGACUGUUGCGCUGGGCGGUUGACCGGAGAGCCGGGUGGCUGUUUUUUGGCGUCGGGCGGUUCUGUGGCUUUAGGCAAACUGCCGGGUGGCCAUUUUUGGCGCCGGGCGGUGGUCCGCUGGGCCUGGGCUUGAAUUUUGUCACUUUUCUUGGUUAUAAAUACCCCUAUUGUGAGUUCAAAGUCAUUCUUUUGACAGAGGAGAACGGCCAGACCUAAUAUUGCUCUCUGGAGAGGAUCUCUUGGAUGCUUAGGCUCCUUUUCAUCUUUUCUAGGGUUUGCUUUUCCAUUCUUCUUCCAUUUUCGAUCUAGUUUCACCAUGUCCAUGGUGAACUAAACCCUAUUGUUGUUGGGGGAAACAAUGUAAUCUUUUGAUACUCUCUUUUAUUGAAACUGUUGAUUAUUUAUAUGGUCUCCAUAUGUUUUGUUUGUUAAUUGUUGGGUUAUCAUCUGUGCUUAAGGCCUUUAUCGUUUAACUCAUUCGGUAACUAAUGUUUGUCUUUAUUGAUAUAGUAAUGACAUGAACUGGUGAGUAAUUUCUUGAUUUUGCAAUACCACCUAGGGAUAGGGGUAGGACGAUCAAUUGCGCUAACUUCUGUUUAUAAUGCGGUAUUAAUUACUAGGGGAGGCUAGGGAUAGCAAGCCAGUAGUUAAUAUUAGGCUCUUUUCGCCGAGGGAUCGGGUUAAGGGUAGGCUAAGAAAGUCACAUAAAAAUUAAUUAAUCAAACUAAUAUUCAUGAGGAGUAGAUAAGAGAGGGCAGAUUAGAUGAAAUUGUAAACCCCCAACAACAUCCAUUCAUCCAUUGUUUUCUUUUGUCAAUUGAAUCAACUUUAUUUUGCAUGUUAAUAUUUUUGUUCUCAAAUCUAAUUUAUUAAUUUUUAUUUUCAAGUCUUAUUAUUUUAAUU